UUCAUCCAGCUGAUCCAAUACUCAGAGUGAUUGUUUUAUCUUUCUGCAGAAAUCAAUCAUCAAAAUUCCUUUUGCAUCCCAAACAACUGAUGCCAUAAUUCUUGCUGAUCGUUGUGACUUCAAAUGCUUUGGAACUAACAACCAGCUUCGGUCCACUGUAAACGCUCUUAUUACAAUUUAGGAUUCAAAGUGGUGGUAGAUCCAAUUUCAUCCAUAGUUAUAAAACGACGCAAGAUAUCGGUUGUAUUUUGCUUAAAUCGCUCCAUUAUGCCGAUAAAUUGUUUUCGAUCCAGUUUUUGUUGAAUUGUUAACGUGUGCGGCACAACUUCCAAACCAACUAUUUCAUAUGUAAAUCUCCAUGUAAAAUAUGAAGAACUCGUUCGUCUGAGAUGCCUAUGGCAUUAGCAACUUCACGCUUAGUCAAACUUGGAUCUUCACUAACAAUAUUAUCAACUUGCUCAAUGAUUUCUGGUAUGGUUGCGGUGUCUGGUCGCCUUCGCGUGGAUCGUUUCAAGUCUAGUAUGACCGCGUUUAAAUUCACCAGCCCAAAAUUCAACGGUGCGUUUUGAAGCCAAUUUUAUAUAAAUUCGACGCUAUAGAAAUGUAGCCCAAUCAGUAAUCGUAUAACUUCAAAAGACCAUACGUCAAUUUUCUACAACAAAGCACUGCAAAAAGGACAAGCAUGACAACAUAGCCGACAUUGUCGGAAAAUUGUCGAUUGAAACAAAUUUUAUCAACUUCUGGACAGUGCGCACAAUUUGGCGUCAAUACGUAUGCUAGCUCGUAUGUAUGCACAUAUAACAUGUCUCUGUUUUUUUCAACGUUUUGUCAUAACUCAACUUUUGCUCCGCUCCGUUUCCGCGCGAACUCGCCGUUAUUUCGUUCGCUUACCACCAUGAACAAAGACGUUUUAUCUGAGGCUUACUAUUAAUGAUAGCGACUGAUUUGUAUGGAGGAAUACAUAACGAAAUAUUAAACGGUUUUUUUCCUAAUAUAAUAAUAUAUACGUAAUAAUAUACAUAAGUGCACACAAAUUUAUACUAAAUUUUAACUUUUAACAUAAAACUGACUAAUGAGAGAUAUAGCUGAAAUAUUUACAUAUAUGCCAGUUUCUUCGUUCUAACCAUUAAAAGCAAAAUUGAAGAGUUAGUUGGAACAUUGUUUGCACGGGGCAAGGAGAAGCAAGCAUCAGCGUACGCGAAUUUAUCAAUAUAUAAUAUGUUCAUUGUCAUAUUUGUGAAAAUACGCAUAAAUAAGGGAAAAUUCAAUAAAACUAAACAUAUGAACAUA